rnacentral:sRNA from 1 species
AAAACUGUAAAAUUUAAUGAAAAUAAAAUAAUUUUUCUUAAUGUUUUCAGAGUACGAUUUACGGCCUCACUAAUUGGAAAAAAAGAUAGAAAUAAUACCGGAAGCAAGCAUGAUAGAGAAGAUGAUGAAAACCACAAGUGAAAGUGCCUUCUCCAUAUUUUCUAAGUUUUUCUUUUUUCUUUCUGAAAAUUGGUUGAGACAAUUAAUGAUAUUUCAAUGAAACAUUUAAAGGGGUGUAUUGGACUUCAUAUUUUAGAAGUAUUAGUGAAAUUUAGGAUAUUUUAGAUUGGGGGAGAUUUGAGUGAACUUCAAGAUAUUUGGUU